rnacentral:rRNA from 1 species
AUUGAACGCUGGCGGCAGGCCUAACACAUGCAAGUCGAACGCGUGGCGCACGGGUGAGUAAUGUCUGGGACACUGCCCGAUGGAGGGGGAUAACUACGAAAAGCUGUCGCUAAUACCGCAUACCAUCGGAUGUGCCCAUAUGGGUUUAGCUAGUGGGUGGGGUAACGGCUCACCUAGGCGACGAUCCCUAGCUGGUCUGAGAGGAUGACCAGCCACACUGGAACUGAGACACGGUCCAGACUCCUACGGGAGGCAGCAGUGGGGAAUAUUGCACAAUGGGCGCAAGCCUGAUACAGCCAUGCCGCGUGUAUGAAGAAGGCCUUCGGGUUGUAAAGUACUUUCAGCGAGGAGGCGUUACUCGCAGAAGAAGCACCGGCUAACUCCGUGCCAGCAGCCGCGGUAAUAC